AAACCUGGAGGUACCUUGACCAACAAGGUGGUUCUCCCAGGAUGAGGCUAUCCCAUUGUUCUUUGGGUGUGCUGACACCUGUGAUGUCCCCAAAUGCGGGAUACUCGACUGCAAAAUUUGUGGUAGUGGGGGAUUGCAAUUUAAUCAGCUGAUUGCCACCCAA